UAGGUACUUGACCUACACUGCUAAAUCCAUUAAGUUUUUUUCGAGUGAGAGUGGUAUAGGCAUUGAUGAGAAAGACACUGUUACUGUUUUUUUAAUAAACUUUGCUGCUUUUAAACCCUGAGGCUAACCAGAAUGAAAGUAGAAGACUUGCUUUAAUAAGAAGAAUUCAAUCUCUAAAAAUCAAAUUUAACAUUUUAAAUUAGAAAGUCUACAAAUAUGAUUUUCACUUUGAAAAAAAAAUACAUCUAGGAUGUUUACAUGCAUGAAAAUAAAGAAUGUACCGUAAUAACGACAUAUUACCUGGUAAAAAAUUAUGGCCCUAAUAAUUAAAAUAUUUCCUGUCUUGCUUUGGGGAUGGUGCGUGUACUCAUUAAUGUAAAGCUGCAUGCUUCUGUUUGAGUGAAAUAAUCGGAUAUACGAGAUCAACAUUUUUUUUCCCAUAAAGUUGGUUAAACCAAUAAUUUCCUUGUUAGUUCUAAAAUUACUUAAACAUGGUUUGGCUGUGUGUUCAAAUGACAAGUAUCAAGACAUGGUGCUCAGUCUUGGAGGUAUAUGUUCAUGUAUAUACAUGACGAAAUAAAAUUAUGAAUUCAUUUCACACAAUGUGCAUUUUUUUCUGUUUGGAUUUGCAUGUCUCGUUUUAUUUUAUUAUGAUUUUUUGUUGUUGUAUCACAUUCAGGUGACAUUAAAAGCUUAAAGCU
rnacentral:misc_RNA from 1 species